GAUGAACGCUGGCGGCGUGCCCAACACAUGCAAGUCGAACGAAGCACCUUACCUGAUUCUUCGGAUGAAAGUUUGGUGACUGAGUGGCGGACGGGUGAGUAACGCGUGGGUAACCUGCCCUGUACAGGGGGAUAACAGCUGGAAACGGCUGCUAAUACCGCAUAAGCGCACGAGGAGACAUCUCCUUGUGUGAAAAACUCCGGUGGUACAGGAUGGGCCCGCGUCUGAUUAGCUGGUUGGCAGGGUAACGGCCUACCAAGGCAACGAUCAGUAGCCGGUCUGAGAGGAUGAACGGCCACAUUGGAACUGAGACACGGUCCAAACUCCUACGGGAGGCAGCAGUGGGGAAUAUUGCACAAUGGGGGAAACCCUGAUGCAGCAACGCCGCGUGAGUGAAGAAGUAUUUCGGUAUGUAAAGCUCUAUCAGCAGGGAAGAUAAUGACGGUACCUGACUAAGAAGCUCCGGCUAAAUACGUG
rnacentral:rRNA from 1 species